CACUUCGUUAUUCAUAAGUCUCUGCCGCAAUUCAUUUUGGCCACAGUUCUGUGGGCCAAUGAGAACAAUAGGUCGUUUUCUAUUCGCUGGUUGAUGAUACAGUGACAUUUCCUCAUAAGUUAAAAUUUCUUCAUUAUCGUAAUCAUCAUUUUUAUUUGCAUUGUAUAAAACCUUCUUCCGUUUCUUUUUGUUCUUCUUUGCACACCAGAGUUUUCCUGAUUUUUCCGGCUCCUUGUCUUCUUCUAUAGUUUGCUUCAUUGCUUCUCUUUGUUGCUGAAAACUUUUUCCAGGAAUAAGGCCCGCCAGUG
rnacentral:lncRNA from 1 species